GAUGAGGACACAACCUAGUUAUAUGAAUUCUUUGGAAUCUCAACGUAGAGGAGCUCUGCAUUUUCAAAGAAUUUCUUUGAGAAAAACUGAUU
rnacentral:misc_RNA from 1 species